rnacentral:lncRNA from 1 species
GGUGAUAUAAAAUGCAAUAUUUUCAGGCAGCUAUCGAGCUUUUCUAGAGGAAGAGCUGAUGAAAACAGUCACAGCUGAAUAGUGGAGAGAAAAAAGCUCUGUAUUUAUUGCUUUUGUUUGGCUUUUGGCUACAGAGACAGGAACAUUCUAAUGGGAUCAGAGAGCGUUUCUGAGGUCCUGAGUCUGGCGGAGUGCCCAUGUGGUGUGGCAUCUCCUCAAUGUCAAGGUUUGUCAAGGAAACCUGUGACCACUGGUUGAACAGGAACUGUGGAGAACUGCCACAGGGCACAUGAUGACCUCAUGAACCACCCUUUAGACUUCCAGUGCUUCUGGCUUUAAUAUUCUGUGCUAGAUUCACAGAGCUCUUCUACAGAUGCUAAGCGUUCAAUCCUGAAGGCUCCACUUCAUCAUCAGGU